rnacentral:ribozyme from 15 species
AAAAAAAAAAAAACUGGAAGCCACAAAAUCACUCAUUUGUCUGAUGCGAGCCACUUUCCAUGUCGGCAUUUUUUUUUUUACUGC